UGGGGUUUUAUAGAGCGCAUUAUGAAAGAACUGUCAACAUAAUGCCCUAUGAAAUCCUAAA
rnacentral:pre_miRNA from 1 species